rnacentral:rRNA from 1 species
UACGGAGGGUGCGAGCGUUGUCCGGAAUCACUGGGCGUAAAGGGCGCGUAGGUGGCUUGGCAAGCGUGUGGUGAAAGCCCGGGGCUCAACCCCGGGUCUGCCGUGCGAACUGGUGGACUGGAGCACUGUAGAGGCAGGUGGAAUUCCGGGUGUAGCGGUGGAAUGCGUAGAGAUCCGGAAGAACACCGGUGGCGAAGGCGGCCUGCUGGGCAGUUGCUGACGCUGAUGCGCGACAGCGUGGGGAGCAAACAGG